CCUGUGAUAGCUCAGUUGGUAGAGCGGAGGACUGUAGCUAUCCUUAGGUCGCUGGUUCGAAUCCGGCUCGACGGA
rnacentral:tRNA from 1 species